UACGGAGGGGGCUAGCGUUGUUCGGAAUUACUGGGCGUAAAGCGCACGUAGGCGGCCAUUCAAGUCAGAGGUGAAGGCCCGGAGCUCAACUCCGGAAUUGCCUUUGAAACUAGGUGGCUUGAACGUCGGAGAGGUGAGUGGAAUUCCGAGUGUAGAGGUGAAAUUCGUAGAUAUUCGGAAGAACGCCAGUGGCGAAGGCGGCUCACUGGACGACGGUUGACGCUGAGGUGCGAAAGCGUGGGGAGCAAACAGU
rnacentral:rRNA from 1 species